GCGACGAUCCCUCGAGAAUGUCUUUAGCACUAAUGCAGUUUUCAUCUCCAUUACUCUCUUGCUCUUCGUUACAAUCACUUGCACUCCAAUUCUUUCUCACAAACAAUUUUUAACUUUCACCAUCACAACACUCUUCCUUGUUAUCAAAGAUAACUUGCAUAAACAUUGCGGUAAACCUCUAUAAAGCAAACACCAUUUCCUCAGCUCUUCAUGGGAUUGAUACUCUUACUUCAAAAGCCGCUAACCAGCCCCAUGCACUUGUAGGAGUCAUUAUACCAUUAUAUGCACUAACUAUAGCAAUACCUUAAAAGUUAUUAUUUUAUCCUGAAAGACUUCUAUGUGAAGCAAUUACUUAAGAUAAACCCACAAUUCUUAUUUGGGGAAUAGAAGUGUUCCUAUUCAAAGGAAUCUCAUAAAUGUCAAUUAGAUAAGGAUUAUGUCCACCUUAUCAACUCAUUAAUCAUUACUUAAUGGUUGCCAACAUAACAAAACAAAAUUACCAAUUCUAGUUUUUCAUAUACAAAGCUAACAAUAUAAAUAGACAUGUCUACCGAAUCCGGCCUCAUAGAUAUCAAGUUAUCAAUCCAACGCUGACCUUCUACGUCUCAAGUCGUCAAUCCAAGUAUACCCAUGGCACACAAGACGGCAUUAGUUCUUGUAUAUAUGUUCAUAUUAGUCGUCAUCUUCUGUUACAGUACAGAAGCUAGGUGUAACCAACACCGCUACAAACUUCCUGGUCGUUGUGAUGGUAUAAAAUGUUUGAAUUUUUGCAUAAAACAAAAGUACCAAGAUGGGACAUGCGGUUUUACUGGCAAUCCUGGUGAAAUUCUUUGCUACUGCAUUAGCUGCGAUGAUAAGACUUCAGUUGAUCAACUAGCGGUGCCACUAGAAGGGGACAAAAAUGGCGCCUGAAUAUGCAAUGUAUGAUGGACAAAUCACUAGUGAAAUAUUAGUGCUGUUAGUGAGAUUGACGCCUUUAGCAUGAAAAUAAAUUGUUGUUCUCUUAAAAAUGAUGUUGUCGUGACAGCAUCACUUCAAAGAUAAUAAAAAGAGAGAGGUUGUUUC